GAUGAACGCUAGCGGCAGGCUUAAUACAUGCAAGUCGAGGGGCAGCAGGGUGGUAGCAAUACCACUGCUGGCGACCGGCAAACGGGUGCGGAACACGUACGCAACUUACCCUGAACUGGGGGAUAGCCCGGGGAAACCCGGAUUAAUACCCCGUAACACUUGGAGGUGGCAUCACCUUUUGGUUAUAGCUCCGGUGGUUCAGGAUGGGCGUGCGGCUGAUUAGGUAGUUGGUUGGGGUAACGGCCCACCAAGCCAACGAUCAGUAACUGGUGUGAGGGCACGACCAGUCACACGGGCACUGAGACACGGGCCCGACUCCUACGGGAGGCAGCAGUAAGGAAUAUUGGGCAAUGGAGGCAACUCUGACCCAGCCAUGCCGCGUGGAGGAUGAAGGCCCUCUGGGUUGUAAACUUCUUUUACUUGGGACGAAACCACUUUUUUCUAAGGGUGUUGACGGUACCAAGGGAAUAAGCACCGGCUAACUCCGUGCCAGCCGCCGCCGUAA
rnacentral:rRNA from 1 species